rnacentral:rRNA from 1 species
GACGAACGCUGGCGGCGUGCUUAACACAUGCAAGUCGAACGGAAAGGCCCUGCUUUUGUGGGGUGCUCGAGUGGCGAACGGGUGAGUAACACGUGAGUAACCUGCCCUUGACUUUGGGAUAACUUCAGGAAACUGGGGCUAAUACCGGAUAGGAGCUCCUGCUGCAUGGUGGGGGUUGGAAAGUUUCGGCGGUUGGGGAUGGACUCGCGGCUUAUCAGCUUGUUGGUGGGGUAGUGGCUUACCAAGGCUUUGACGGGUAGCCGGCCUGAGAGGGUGACCGGCCACAUUGGGACUGAGAUACGGCCCAGACUCCUACGGGAGGCAGCAGUGGGGAAUAUUGCACAAUGGGCGGAAGCCUGAUGCAGCAACGCCGCGUGCGGGAUGACGGCCUUCGGGUUGUAAACCGCUUUCGCCUGUGACGAAGCGUGAGUGACGGUAAUGGGUAAAGAAGCACCGGCUAACUACGUGCCAGCAGCCGCGGUGAUACGUAGGGUGCGAGCGUUGUCCGGAUUUAUUGGGCGUAAAGGGCUCGUAGGUGGUUGAUCGCGUCGGAAGUGUAAUCUUGGGGCUUAACCCUGAGCGUGCUUUCGAUACGGGUUGACUUGAGGAAGGUAGGGGAGAAUGGAAUUCCUGGUGGAGCGGUGGAAUGCGCAGAUAUCAGGAGGAACACCAGUGGCGAAGGCGGUUCUCUGGGCCUUUCCUGGCGCUGAGGAGCGAAAGCGUGGGGAGCGAACAGGCUUAGAUACCCUGGUAGUCCACGCUGUAAACGGUGGGUACUAGGUGUGGGGUCCAUUCCACGGGUUCCGUGCCGUAGCUAACGCUUUAAGUACCCCGCCUGGGGAGUACGGCCGCAAGGCUAAAACUCAAAGGAAUUGACGGGGCCCCGCACAAGCGGCGGAGCAUGCGGAUUAAUUCGAUGCAACGCGUAGAACCUUACCUGGGUUUGACAUGGAUCGGGAGUGCGCAGAGAUGGGUGUGCCUCUUUUGGGGUCGGUUCACAGGUGAUGCAUGGCUGUCGUCAGCUCGUGUCGUGAGAUGUUGGGUUAAGUCCCGCAACGAGCGCAACCCUUGUUCACUGUUGCCAGCACGUUAUGGUGGGGACUCAGUGGAGACCGCCGGGGUCAACUCGGAGGAAGGUGGGGAUGACGUCAAGUCAUCAUGCCCCUUAUGUCCAGGGCUUCACGCAUGCUACAAUGGCUGGUACAGAGAGUGGCGAGCCUGUGAGGGUGAGCGAAUCUCGGAAAGCCGGUCUCAGUUCGGAUUGGGGUCUGCAACUCGACCUCAUGAAGUCGGAGUCGCUAGUAAUCGCAGAUCAGCAACGCUGCGGUGAAUACGUUCCCGGG